CCGGCAGCAUACCUCCUUUUGAGCGUAUCUCCGGCGCCAUGACAGAAGACCCUCAGUAAUCGUCCGGCUGCAAGUUAAUGCAGUGUAUUGCCUCCUUCAGAGCGCAACCCGGUGUCAGAGGUCAUCGUGACCCUCCUAGAGAGUGGUGAAGGUAUCUCAUGUCAACUUCAACAAACUACGGACUAAGCCCGUGCCCACUUUGGAUAUUGUGGUUGCGCUAGUUAAUUGUCAUGGGUGAGUACUUAGGCGCCAAAGUUUUCAUAAAACCCAACCUUUUUCAUAUCCUCAUCAUUUUUACCAAAUCCUUUCCUUUCAUAAAUUCUCACUUGGGGAAAACAUCAUGC